rnacentral:rRNA from 1 species
GAUGAACGCUGGCGGCGUGCCUAAUACAUGCAAGUCGAGCGAACAGACGAGAAGCUUGCUCCUCUGAUGUUAGCGGCGGACGGGUGAGUAACACGUGGAUAACCUACCUAUAAGACUGGGAUAACUUCGGGAAACCGGAGCUAAUACCGGAUGAUAUUUUGAACCGCAUGGUUCAAUGGUGAAAGACGGUCUUGCUGUCACUUAUAGAUGGAUCCGCGCUGCAUUAGCUAGUUGGUAAGGUAACGGCUUACCAAGGCAACGAUGCGUAGCCGACCUGAGAGGGUGAUCGGCCACACUGGAACUGAGACACGGUCCAGACUCCUACGGGAGGCAGCAGUAGGGAAUCUUCCGCAAUGGGCGAAAGCCUGACGGAGCAACGCCGCGUGAGUGAUGAAGGUCUUCGGAUCGUAAAACUCUGUUAUUAGGGAAGAACAUAUGUGUAAGUAACUAUGCACGUCUUGACGGUACCUAAUCAGAAAGCCACGGCUAACUACGUG